rnacentral:hammerhead_ribozyme from 1 species
AGUCGAAACCGGGUGCUAAGGAUGGCGCCCGGUCUACCCUAGGGUUGCAGCUACAAACUGCAACGGUAGCCGCUAGGGUACUGAUGAGACAGGCUAAC